AGCCAGACUGGCUUGUCUGUAAUCAAUCUAGGCUUCGGCCUGGAUGCACUUGCAGGCUAUGCCUGCCAACGACAAUUUGACUUGAGGGAAAAAACUAGGGGAAAUGUGGCCCACUUGUGGGUGUUAUAGUCCCUUAGAAAAUACCUUGGGUUGGAUUGAGGAACGCAGCGAAUGCUUAUUGGCGAGUUUUCCAGGAAGGUUUUCUGAGGUACUAC
rnacentral:rRNA from 1 species